rnacentral:lncRNA from 1 species
UUAAUAACUAUUUUUAAAUGUAUGUUAAAAGAUCACAUUUAGUCUAUCACCCUAUCUGUUACAGUUUAAAAAUUCAAAACUUAAUAGGGCUUAUCAGCUUACUUCCAUAUCCCAACUGCUGACUCUAGCACAAAGUUUCUGUUUUGAUCCUAAGAUUGCACAGCUGUUUAUUCAUUAAGAUUCAUGAAAUUUCUACAGCCCUGAACAGGGGUUACUGAAGUUGUAAUCUCUCCUUUCUCUGCCUUAUCUCCGUUAUAAAUCCAAGGUGUCUUUGGACAUAGAUAGGAACCAAGUUAUCUGACAUAGCUUGGCUCUACAGACAUUUGGAGGAUUUCUCCUGAUGAUACAACAAAAACAAAGAAGUCUCAAGAGUACAAUGGACAUUUGCAAAGGUAUACUUCAACUCUCUUCUUUUUUUCUACCCAAGAUUUAUCACUAUUCCCAAA